GGGGAGAGAGAGAGAGAGAGAGAGAGAGGGGAGGAAGAGGGAGAGGAGCGAACGGAGGACAGAGAGAGAGAGAGAGGGAGAGGGGGGAAGCUUUGCCGAGGUUUGCACCUGCUGAUGAGACGUCUGCAACUCGAAGAAGAUUCCGAGGAAGCAAAGGUUCAUGAACCGAAGGCUCCAUUCUGUUUCGGUGACAGGUCAAGCAGUGAUGUUGUGGUGAGACUACGGACCCAAGAAGGCCGAGAUGAGUGGUUGUACUGCCAUUCGGAUAUCCUCAUACAGAAUAGCAAGUACUUCUCUGAUCGGCUCUCCGACAAGUGGCCCACAUGUCAGAUCCUCGACUCCCGCAAUUGUGUUGAGGUUCACUGUCAGGACACAGACUUUGACUUCCACGUUAGCAUCCUCCGCUUAUUCUAUGAUUCUAUCGAGCGCCUGGCAGAUGAUGCAUGGCACAAUGUCAGGAAUGCCCUCGGCAUCUUACGGGUGGCGGUUGAACUCGAGUGCCCAGAAAUUGUCUCUGCCUGCGUAAACUACUUGGAGGCAGUCCCAUGGGAAGAGAGCGAGGAGGAGGAGAUUCUCAGGACGAUCCCAGGCAUGGGUCAACAGGCUUUACCAAUUCUCUCUCGCCUCGAGCCAGUCAACCAUUCGGCUGUUACUGCGAUCUUCAUUUCCGCCGUCCGAUUUGCCACGUCGUCUCCUCCUCCAAGCAUGAAUGAUCUCAAGUCCACUGCCCAGGAGCAACUCGAGUACAUGCUGACCGAAGACGAUGACGAUCCCCUACCAAUACCAACUGAUGAGAUCAAGUCAGAAGUGAGAGAGUGCAUGAAGAGACUCUUAGAUCGUUUUAAUGGUCUGCUUGAAUCCUUGCUGUGUGAGGCCCAAGAGUCAAUGCAACUGUUCCAUUCUUACUUGUCAGAUCUUUCAUGGGUGUGUCAGAUUCUGACAAAGCUCGAGAUAAUGAGGGAGCUCGUUAUAAGCUGGACGGAAGCAUCUGAUAAAGUGGUGAAACUCAUUCAACUCGCAAGUGAAUCCGAUGAAAUUGUAAUCAAGACAAGAUUGAAGGCCAUAGAGGUUGCAUCAAAAGUCUUAGAGACAAUUGGGUAUGGGAGUGUGAUACUUCCGACAUCCAAGAGACUUCACGCAGUCCAGGUUUGGCUUCCCUUCGUGAGGGCGACAAGACCCUUGAUUGAUGCUUUUCUCUCUAAUAAUGAGGACUCUGCAGAGCUCAAAAUUGAUGGUGAGAUGUGGCAGUCUCUCGAAUCCACGUUUGUAUCGAUAAUACUUGCCUUGCCCUCAGGGGACCAGGCAGAGAUCUUGAAUGAGUGGUUAAAAAGCAGCCAUGCUCAGUAUCCCGACCUCACAGAGGCAUUUGAGGUCUGGUGUUACAGGUCCAAGGUUGCAAAGAGGAGACUGGCAGUUUUAGGCGACAAGGAAAGAACCACUGGUGCAUUUUGACGGUUUUACUCUUCCACUUGAGCUUUUGACUCUCACUUGUCAUCGCAAGUCGUAGCAUUUCUUCUUCCCCUGAAAUAGGUUCUUAUCUCUAUAUCCCUAGGAAGGAUCAGUGAAGCAUCAACAUCAACAAGAGCCAGGAAUCAAUUGACCAACAUCAACAUGCAUUGCUGUGGAUGAACUUCAAAAGCAAACAGCAUAUUCAUUCAAUCCAAAAUAAAGGUCCCAUCAUGUUAGCAGCAGCCCCUGGGGCAGAAGGAUUCCCCUUCUCAUUAUCGAAAGGACUUACCCAUUAUAAAGGAAGUAACUCAGGCCAAGUGGAGAACAUCUUCAUGCCCAAAUAGUCUUUUUUGUACUGAUAGUUACAAGUCAAAAAGGUAACAGUAGUCUUGCUUCAGAAGCUAAACCUUCAAUGGAAAAGCUUCACCUGUCAAA